UUCUGACCGUAAACGAUGCCAACUAGCGAUCCGCCGGCGGAUUCCAAACGCCCUGGUGGGGAGCUUCCCGGAAACGAAAGUCUUCCGGUUCCGGGGGAAGUAUGGUUGCAAAGCUGAAACUUAAAGGAAUUGACGGAAGGGCACCACCAGGAGUGGAGCCUGCGGCUUAAUUUGACUCAACACGGGAAAACUCACCCGGCCCGGACACCGCGAGGAUUGACAGAUUGAUAGCUCUUUCAUGAUUCGGUGGAUGGUGGUGCAUGGCCGUUCUUAGUUCGUGGAGCGAUUUGUCUGGUUUAUUCCGAUAACGAGCGAGACUCUAGCCUACUAACUAGUCCGCAUGUUCCUUGUGCUGCAUGCUAACGGACUUCUUAGAGGGAUUUUCGGCGUUUCAGCCGCACGAAACUGAGCAAUAACAGGUCUGUGAUGCCCUUAGAUGUCCGGGGCUGCACGCGCGCUACACUGGCGAAAUCAGCGUGCCUGUCCUCUCGCGAAAGCGAUUGGUAAACCGGUGAAAAUUCGCCGUGAUUGGGAUCGGGAAUUGCAACUAUUUUCCGUGAACGAGGAAUUCCAAGUAAGUGCGAGUCAUCAACUCGCGUUG
rnacentral:rRNA from 1 species